GGUUAGUACUAAUUAAAAAUCAUAUGGAAAAAAUCUUGUAACGCCAUCUAACUGUUAGUAUAUCAGAAAAUCUACGAAUCAUGCGCUGCUUCAAUACAAAGCUAUAAUACAUAGGCAUGCACAUAGAUCCAAUAAAACAAAGUCUCAAUAACGUAUUAAGCACACUGUGUCAUAUGUUCAUAUUUUAUGUGUUUAAAUAAUCAAGUUUAAAAAUUCAUUUAAUAUAUUAGCAAUAUAUGUAUGUAAUUACAUAUUUUGUAAUUAAUUCCUGAAUGGGAAAUCUAGAAUAUGUUGCCUACUAAGUCUAAUAGUUUCACUGCUGUCAUCUAAUAACAUGACUGCCAAAAGGUUGUCACAAUAACUGAUCCUGCGUAAAUAUGCUGAACUGAAUUUCUUUAUCUCAGUUAUAACAAAAGGCAUGUCAGAUGUGAAAAUGGUGUAAAGUAUAGGACUAACUACGCGGACCUGUGGUACUCUAGAUAUAAUAUACAAAAAUAAUAUCCUCUCAACAACUCCAGGUCGGAUCUACUAGUGUUAUAUAUUGUAUUUUUUAAUGUAGAGGGAGACAUAGUGAGGAUAAUGAUCAGUACAUGCUUAAGGUACAUAUGGAUUUCAAUAUUAUUUUAUAUACGUACAUAUAUGUACGUCUAGUAUGUAUAUUUCACUUCAUUAAAAUUUUAUGAAUUAUUAAAGAUGAACUAUGUAUUACAG